GACGAACGCUGGCGGCACGCCUAACACAUGCAAGUCGAACGGACUUAAAAGAGCUUGCUUUUUUAAGUUAGUGGCGGACGGGUGAGUAACACGUGAGCAACCUGCCUCUGAGAGGGGGAUAGCUUCUGGAAACGGAUGGUAAUACCCCAUAAAAUAUAAUUAUCGCAUGAUAGAUAUAUCAAAGAAAUUCGCUCAGAGAUGGGCUCGCGUCUGAUUAGAUAGUUGGUGAGGUAACGGCUCACCAAGUCGACGAUCAGUAGCCGGACUGAGAGGUUGAACGGCCACAUUGGGACUGAGACACGGCCCAGACUCCUACGGGAGGCAGCAGUGGGGAAUAUUGCACAAUGGAGGGAACUCUGAUGCAGCGAUGCCGCGUGGAGGAAGAAGGUUUUCGGAUUGUAAACUCCUUUUAUCAGGGACGAUAAUGACGGUACCUGAAGAAAAAGCUCCGGCUAACUACGUG
rnacentral:rRNA from 1 species